CAUUCCUACGGGGCGCAGCAGUGGGGGAUAUUGCACAAUGGAGGAAACUCUGAUGCAGCGACGCCGCGUGAGGGAAGACGGUCUUCGGAUUGUAAACCUCUGUCUUUGGGGAAGAAAAUGACGGUACCCAAAGAGGAAGCUCCGGCUAACUACGUGCCAGCAGCCGCGGUAAUACGUAUGGGGCAAGCGUUAUCCGGAUUUACUGGGUGUAAAGGGAGCGUAGGCGGCCUGGCAAGCCUGAUGUGAAAUACCGGGGCCCAACCCCGGGGCUGCAUUGGGAACUGCCAGGCUGGAGUGCCGGAGAG
rnacentral:rRNA from 1 species